CCUACGGGGGGCAGCAGUGGGGAAUUUUGGACAAUGGGCGCAAGCCUGAUCCAGCUAUUCCGCGUGUGGGAAGACGGCCUUCGGGUUGUAAACCACUUUUGUAGAGAACGAAAAGUCUAUUGAUAAUACCGAUAGAUGAUGACGGUACUCUAAGAAUAAGCACCGGCUAACUACGUGCCAGCAGCCGCGGUAAUACGUAGGGUGCGAGCGUUAAUCGGAAUUACUGGGCGUAAAGGGUGUGCAGGCGGUUUUGCAAGAUGGAUGUGAAAGCCCCGGGCUUAACCUGGGAAAGCCAUAGAUGACUGCAAGACUAGAGUGCGUCAGAGGGGGGUGGAAUUGCAAGUGUAGCAGUGAAAUGCGUAGAUAUUUGGAAGAACACCGAUGGCGAAGGCAGCCCCCUGGGACGCAACUGACGCUCAUACACGAAAGCGUGGGGAGCAAACAGGAUUAGAUACCCUUGUAGUC
rnacentral:rRNA from 1 species